CUACGGGAUGCUCCAGUGGGGAAUAUUGGGCAAUGGGCGCAAGCCUGACCCAGCAACGCCGCGUGAGGGAAGAAUGUCUUCGGAUUGUAAACCUCUGUCCUUGGGGACGAAAAAAAUGACGGUACCCAAGGAGGAAGCUCCGGCUAACUACGUGGCCAGCAGCCGCGGUAAUACGUAGGGAGCAAGCGUUGUCCGGAAUUAUUGGGCGUAAAGGGUGCGUAGGCGGCGCUGUAAGUCAGAUGUGAAAUCCCCGGGCUUAACUCGGGAGUUGCAUUUGAAACUACAGUGCUUGAGUAAAGAAGGGGUAAGUGGAAUUCCUAGUGUAGCGGUGGAAUGCGUAGAUAUUAGGAGGAACACCAGUGGCGAAGGCGACUUACUGGUCUUUUACUGACGCUGAGGCACGAAAGCGUGGGGAGCAAACAGGAUUAGAUACCCUCGUAGUC
rnacentral:rRNA from 1 species